rnacentral:lncRNA from 13 species
GCAUACUGUUGCAUUCUAUAAUUUUUUUACUUUAGUUUUCUCCUAUUUUACAGAUGGAAAAUGAGAUUGAAAGAGAUUAAGCCAUUUACUCAAAGUCAAGAGCAAAUUCAGUUAAAGAACAUAACUGAAAGUUGAACAAAGGAUAUACAAUAUAUCCACUCUGUGUCCAAGAAAUAAAUCCUGUAAUGCCUACAGCUAGAGCACCUGAAACAACUCAUAUUGAAGACUUUCUGGGGACUGGUAUUUAUCUUUCAAGCCAUCAAAGAACCUUCCAGAAGAGCCUAGAAUUGGUCUUUCUAAGCAUUGUGGAGAAGUCAGUAGAAGGAACUUUGCAUUCUGACAAAAAUGUAACAAUAGAAUAUCUGGCUGAAUAUUGAAUUUACUAAGAACAUAUAAUAUAUAACAAAGGAAAACAAUAGAUAAAUGAAUUAAUUUUUGUAACCAAACUCCUUCUGUGUUUUUUAAUGUCUUUCUGUAGCAUCUUAAGUUACCAGCUAACAUUUAUACAGUUUUCUCUUAGGCAGACAUUAAUUCACAAGAACCAAGACAUGCACUGAAAUAAUAGGGGCUACCUUAAAAGGCAUUCUCAUUUACACGGUUAUAUAUUCUUUGCAAAA